ACAAGCGGUGGAUGAUGUGAUUAAUUCGAUGCAACGCGAAAACCUUACCUACCCUUGACAUGUCUGGAAUCUUGGUGAGAGCCGAGGGUGCCUUCGGGAGCCAGAACACAGGUGCUGCAUGGCUGUCGUCAGCUCGUGUCGUGAGAUGUUGGGUUAAGUCCCGCAACGAGCGCAACCCUUGUCACUAGUUGCCAUCAUUUGGUUGGGCACUCUAGUGAGACUGCCGGUGACAAACCGGAGGAAGGUGGGGAUGACGUCAAGUCCUCAUGGCCCUUAUGGUAGGGCUUCACACGUCAUACAAUGGUCGGUACAGAGGGUUGCCACUUAGCGAUAAGGAGCCAAUCCCGUAAAGCCGGUCUCAGUCCGGAUUGGAGUCUGCAACUCGACUCCAUGAAGUUGGAAUCGCUAGUAAUCGCAGAUCAGCACGCUGCGGUGAAUACGUUCCCGGGCCUU
rnacentral:rRNA from 1 species